rnacentral:lncRNA from 1 species
AUGCUUAACGUUGUUACAGAGCUGGCCUCACCCUCCAUGCACUGCGGAGUCUGGACAUACAGUUUUCUAAAGAAUUGUGUUCUUCUUGACAAGCCCAACAUACAUGUGAGAACCUUUAUGGACCUGUCUUCGUGGGUUCCACCAUCCACUUUCACCCCUGCCAGCAAAGGGCACUACAGUCUGUGUCCUCAGGAUGUGAUGGAUGGAAGCGAGGAUGGAAUUAGGGCUAAAUAAAAUGACAAAAGUAUGGGCCAUAGUCAUGACACUUGUCAUCUCUGAAACUUAGUUUCUGCAUCAUAAACUGAAAUGACACCUCUUCUACAUAUUCCACAAGGUUUUUCUCUAGAGAUCAAGUGACGUAUUUGAGGAAAGUCCUAUAAAACUCUAAGAUUUUAUACCAAUUUAAAAGCUUUUUUACUGAGAUAGCCAAGUAAACAACAAUUUUUAAAGAAAUUAAGAAACUUUAGGGGCGCCUGGGAGGCUCAGUCGGUUGAGCGUUCGACUUCGGCUCAGGUCAUGAUCUCGUGGUUUGUGGGUUCGAGCCCCGCGUCAGGCUCUGCGCUGACAGCUCAGGGCCUGGAGCCUGCUUCGGAUUCUGCGUCUCCCUCUCUCUCUGCCCCUCCCCCACCCGUGCUCUCUGUCUCAAAAAUAAAUAAACAUUAAAAAAAGUUUUUUUUUAAAUA